rnacentral:misc_RNA from 1 species
AUUUUGUAAAGCAUGAUUGUGUAUUUGGUGAUGACUUGGAUUUAGAAGAGAUAACAUUUGUGUCAGAGGUUCUGAAAAAGCUUGAUCACCCCAUUCUAUAUUCUUUGUCUCCUGGAACCAGUGUGACACCAACCAUGGCUAAAGAUGUAAGUGGGUUAGUCAACAUGUACAGGAUAACAGGGGAUGAUUGGGAUACAUGGGGAGAUGUAGCAGCCCAUUUUGAUGUUUCAAGGGACUUCUCUACUGCUACUAUGAUUGGUGCCAAGGGUUUAUUGGGGAAGUCGUGGCCUGACUUAGAUAUGCUACCAUUGGGAUGGC